rnacentral:tRNA from 2 species
GGGCCCAUAGCUCAGUUGGUUAGAGCAGCGGACUCAUAAUCCGUUGGUCGCAGGUUCAAGUCCUGCUGGGCCCACCA